GUGACACACAUAGCCCAAAGCCAAGCCUCGAGGCCACAUAAGGAAGGAAGUAAUAAUGAUCAGAGCAGAAAUAAACAAAAUAGAGUCUAAAUGAAUAAAAAAAGAUC